rnacentral:rRNA from 1 species
AGUGAACGCUGGCGGUAGGCCUAACACAUGCCAGUCGAACGGCAGCACAGUAAGAGCUUGCUCUUACGGGUGGCGAGUGGCGGACGGGUGAGGAAUACAUCGGAAUCUACUUUUUCGUGGGGGAUAACGUAGGGAAACUUACGCUAAUACUGCAUACGACCUACGGGUGAAAGCAGGGGAUCUUCGGACCUUGCGCGAUUGAAUGAGCCGAUGUCGGAUUAGCUAGUUGGCGGGGUAAAGGCCCACCAAGGCGACGAUCCAUAGCUGGUCUGAGAGGAUGAUCAGCCACACUGGAACUGAGACACGGUCCAGACUCCUACGGGAGGCAGCAGUGGGGAAUAUUGGACAAUGGGCGCAAGCCUGAUCCAGCCAUACCGCGUGGGUGAAGAAGGCCUUCGGGUUGUAAAGCCCUUUUGUUGGGAAAGAAAAGCAGCAGGUUAAUACCCCGCUGUUCUGACGGUACCCAAAGAAUAAGCACCGGCUAACUUCGUG